UACGGAGGAUGCGAGCGUUAUCCGGAUUUAUUGGGUUUAAAGGGUGCGCAGGCGGAUUUUUAAGUCAGCGGUCAAAUCGUGGGGCUCAACCCCAUCCAGCCGUUGAAACUGGGAGACUUGAGUGCAGAAGAGGAGAGUGGAACUCCAUGUGUAGCGGUGAAAUGCGUAGAUAUAUGGAAGAACACCAGUGGCGAAAGCGGCUCUCUGGUCUGUAACUGACGCUGAGGUUCGAAAGCGUGGGUAGCAAACAGG
rnacentral:rRNA from 1 species